rnacentral:rRNA from 1 species
UACGUAGGAGACGAGCGUUGUCCGGAGUUACUGGGCGUAAAGGGUGCGCAGGUGGCGGCGCGCGUGGGGGGGUGAAAUCGCCCGGCUUAACUGGGCGGGGGCCUUCCAGACGGCGUGGCUUGAGCAGCGGAGGGGGACGUGGAAUUCCGGGUGGAGCGGUGAAAUGCGUAGAUAUCGUAAGGAAGACCAGUGGCGAAGGCGGGUCUCUGGGACGGUACUGACGCUGAGACGCGAAAGCGUGGGGAGCGAACAGG